rnacentral:rRNA from 1 species
AUUGAACGCUGGCGGCAGGCCUAACACAUGCAAGUCGAGCGGAUGAAGAGAGCUUGCUCCUGGAUUCAGCGGCGGACGGGUGAGUAAUGCCUAGGAAUCUGCCUGGUAGUGGUUGAUAACGUCCGGAAACGGGCGCUAAUACCGCAUACGUCCUGAGGGAGAAAGUGGGGGAUCUUCGGACCUCACGCUAUCAGAUGAGCCUAGGUCGGAUUAGCUAGUUGGUGGGGUAAAGGCCUACCAAGGCGACGAUCCGUAACUGGUCUGAGAGGAUGAUCAGUCACACUGGAACUGAGACACGGUCCAGACUCCUACGGGAGGCAGCAGUGGGGAAUAUUGGACAAUGGGCGAAAGCCUGAUCCAGCCAUGCCGCGUGUGUGAAGAAGGUCUUCGGAUUGUAAAGCACUUUAAGUUGGGAGGAAGGGCAGUAAGUUAAUACCUUGCUGUUUUGACGUUACCAACAGAAUAAGCACCGGCUAACUUCGUG